rnacentral:lncRNA from 1 species
AGAUGUGGGGCAGGGAGGAGCAGAUGUGGGGCAGGAAUGGGCAGACGUGGGGCAGGAAGGAGCAGACGUGGGGCAGGAAACAACAGAUGUGGGGCAGGAAGGGGCAGACGUGGGGCAGGAAGGGGCAGAUGUGGGGCAGGAAGGAUGUGAGGCUCCGUCCCGCUGUGGUUGCAGACCUGGCUGUGUCUGAUCGCGCUGGGCGCCUCGGCGCUGUCCUGCGGAGCCACGGUAAGCGUCACUCGCAGCCUGCUGCCCGAGCACAGCCCGCAGCACAACAGCAAGUAGCGCACGCGCGUGUGCGAGUGUGUCACACCCCGCGUGUGUGCGUGUGUGUGAGCUGUGUGUGUGUGCAUCCUGGGUGUCCCCACGUAUGCACAUCCCUGUGUGUGUGUGUGCAUCCUUGUGUGUGCGUGUGUGUGCAUCUGUGCGUGUGUGUGCAUCCCUGUGAGUGUGUGUGCAUCCCUGUGAGUGUGUGUGUGCAUCUGUGUGUGUGUGUGCAUCUGUGUGUGUGUGCGUGA